GCCAGGUGUGGUGGCUCGUGCCUGCAGUCCCAGACACUUGGGAGGCUGAGAUAGGAGGAGGAUUGCUUGUCCCCAGGAGUUCUGGGCUGUAGUGUGCAGUGCUGAUAGGGUGUCCACACUAAGUUCGGCAUCAAUAUGGUGACCUCCAAGUUGCCUAAUGAGAAGUAAACCAACCCAGGUUGCAAAUGGAGCAGGUCAAAACUCCCAUGCUGAUCAGUAGUAGGAUUGUGAACAGCCUGUGAAUAGCCACUAUCCUCCAGCCUGGGCAAAACAGCAAGACUCUUGUCUC
ensembl:misc_RNA Metazoa_SRP Metazoan signal recognition particle RNA